rnacentral:rRNA from 1 species
AGUGAACGCUGGCGGUAGGCCUAACACGUGCAAGUCGAGCGGCAGCACAGUAAGAGCUUGCUCUUACGGGUGGCGAGUGGCGGACGGGUGAGGAAUACAUCGGAAUCUACUUUUUCGUGGGGGAUAACGUAGGGAAACUUACGCUAAUACCGCAUACGACCUACGGGUGAAAGCAGGGGAUCUUCGGACCUUGCGCGAUUGAAUGAGCCGAUGUCGGAUUAGCUAGUUGGCGGGGUAAAGGCCCACCAAGGCGACGAUCCGUAGCUGGUCUGAGAGGAUGAUCGGCCACACUGGAACUGAGACACGGUCCAGACUCCUACGGGAGGCAGCAGUGGGGAAUAUUGGACAAUGGGCGCAAGCCUGAUCCAGCCAUACCGCGUGGGUGAAGAAGGCCUUCGGGUUGUAAAGCCCUUUUGUUGGGAAAGAAAAGCAGCAGGUUAAUACCCCGCUGUUCUGACGGUACCCAAAGAAUAAGCACCGGCUAACUUCGUG